rnacentral:pre_miRNA from 1 species
UACGUACUCCCUCCGUCCGAAAAUACUUGUCGAAGAAAUGGAUGUAUCUAGAUGCAAUUUAGUUUUAGAUACACCCAUUUUCAUCCAUUUCUUUGACAAGUAUUUUCGGACGGGGGGAGUACUAC